rnacentral:rRNA from 1 species
UCUCCUGGAAACGGGUGGUAAUGCCGGAUGCUCCAGUUCACCGCAUGGUCUGUUGGGAAAGCCUUUGCGGCAUGGGAUGGGGUCGCGUCCUAUCAGCUUGAUGGCGGGGUAACGGCCCACCAUGGCUUCGACGGGUAGCCGGCCUGAGAGGGCGACCGGCCACAUUGGGACUGAGAUACGGCCCAGACUCCUACGGGAGGCAGCAGUGGGGAAUAUUGCACAAUGGGCGCAAGCCUGAUGCAGCGACGCCGCGUGAGGGAUGGAGGCCUUCGGGUUGUAAACCUCUUUUGUUAGGGAGCAAGGCAUUUUGUGUUGAGUGUACCUUUCGAAUAAGCACCGGCUAACUACGUGCCAGCAGCCGCGGUAAUACGUAGGGUGCAAGCGUUAUCCGGAAUUAUUGGGCGUAAAGGGCUCGUAGGCGGUUCGUCGCGUCCGGUGUGAAAGUCCAUCGCUUAACGGUGGAUCCGCGCCGGGUACGGGCGGGCUUGAGUGCGGUAGGGGAGACUGGAAUUCCCGGUGUAACGGUGGAAUGUGUAGAUAUCGGGAAAGAACACCA